rnacentral:rRNA from 1 species
GACGAACGCUGGCGGCGUGCUUAACACAUGCAAGUCGAACGGAAAGGCCCUGCUUUUGUGGGGUGCUCGAGUGGCGAACGGGUGAGUAACACGUGAGUAACCUGCCCUUGACUUUGGGAUAACUUCAGGAAACUGGGGCUAAUACCGGAUAGGAGCUCCUGCUGCAUGGUGGGGGUUGGAAAGUUUCGGCGGUUGGGGAUGGACUCGCGGCUUAUCAGCUUGUUGGUGGGGUAGUGGCUUACCAAGGCUUUGACGGGUAGCCGGCCUGAGAGGGUGACCGGCCACAUUGGGACUGAGAUACGGCCCAGACUCCUACGGGAGGCAGAAGUGGGGAAUAUUGCACAAUGGGCGGAAGCCUGAUGCAGCAACGCCGCGUGCGGGAUGACGGCCUUCGGGUUGUAAACCGCUUUCGACUGUGACGAAGCGUGAGUGACGGUAAUGGGUAAAGAAGCACCGGCUAACUACGUG